CACGGACCGCACGAACGUUAUUCGGUAUCACUGGGCUUAAAGGGUGCGUAGGCGGCUUGGCAAGUUGGGUGUGAAAGCCCUCGGCUCAACCGAGGAAUUGCGCUCAAUACUGCCGAGCUCGAGAGAGACAGAGGUAAGCGGAACUAAUGGUGGAGCGGUGAAAUGCGCAGAUAUCAGGAGGAACACCGGUGGCGAAGGCGGAUCUCUGGGCCGAUACUGACGCUGAGGAGCGAAAGCGUGGGGAGCGAACAGG
rnacentral:rRNA from 1 species